GGGGAUUUAGCUCAGUGGUAGAGCGCUUGCCUAGCAAGCACAAAAGGCCCUGGGUUCGGUCCCCAGCUCCG
rfam:Rattus norvegicus chromosome 14, whole genome shotgun sequence.